rnacentral:rRNA from 1 species
GAUCAUGGCUCAGAUUGAAACGCUGGCGGCAGGCCUAACACAUGCAAGUCGAGCGGCAUCGGGAAGGUAGCUUGCUAUCUUUGCCGGCGAGCGGCGGACGGGUGAGUAAAGUCUGGGGAUCUGCCUGAUGGAGGGGGAUAACUACUGGAAACGGUAGCUAAUACCGCAUGAUGUUACGCGACCAAAGCGGGGGACCUCCGGGCCUCGCGCCAUCAGAUGAACCCAGAUGGGAUUAGCUAGUAGGAGAGGUAAUGGCUCCCCUAGGCGACGAUCCCUAGCUGGUCUGAGAGGAUAACCAGCCACACUGGAACUGAGAGACGGUCCAGACUCCUACGGGAGGCAGCAGUGGGGAAUAUUGCACAAUGGGCGCAAGCCUGAUGCUAGCCAUGCCGCGUGUGUGA